UACGUAGGGUGCGAGCGUUAAUCGGAAUUACUGGGCGUAAAGCGUGCGCAGGCGGCGCGUUAAGACAGGUGUGAAAGCCCCGAGCUUAACUUGGGAAUUGCGCUCGUGACUGGCGAGCUUGAGUGCAGGAGAGGAACGCGGAAUUCCAGGUGUAGCGGUGAAAUGCGUAGAUAUCUGGAGGAACACCGGUGGCGAAGGCGGCGUUCUGGACUGCAACUGACACUGAGGAACGAAAGCCAGGGGAGCAAACGGG
rnacentral:rRNA from 1 species